rnacentral:misc_RNA from 1 species
GAUGAAGAACGUAGCGAAAUGCGAUAAGUAAUGUGAAUUGCAGAAUUCAGUGAAUCAUCGAAUCUUUGAACGCACAUUGCGCCCCUUGGUAUUCCGAGUGGCAUGCCUGUUCGAGCGUCAUUAUAACCCUCAAGCUCAGCUUGGUGUUGGGGCCUGCUGCACUGGCAGCCCUUAAAAUCAGUGGCGGCGCCAUCUGGCUCUAAGCGUAGUAAUUCUUCUCGCUAUGGAGUCCUGGUGGAUGCUUGCCAUCAACCCCCAAUUUUUCUAUGGUUGACCUCGGAUCAGGUAGGGAUACCCGCUGAACUUAAGCAUAUCAAUAAGCGGAGGA